UACCAGACUCCUACGGGAGGCAGCAGUGGGGGAUAUUGCACAAUGGGGGAAACCCUGAUGCAGCGAUGCCGCGUGAAUGAAGACGGCCUUCGGGUUGUAAAGUUCUGUCGCAGGGGACGAAAAUGACGGUACCCUGCAAGAAAGUUCCGGCUAACUACGUGCCAGCAGCCGCGGUAAUACGUAGGGAGCAAGCGUUGUCCGGAUUUACUGGGUGUAAAGGGAGCGUAGGCGGCGAUGCAAGUCAGAAGUGAAAGCCCGGGGCUCAACUCCGGGACUGCUUUUGAAACUGUGUUGCUAGAUUGCAGGAGAGGUAAGUGGAAUUCCUAGUGUAGCGGUGAAAUGCGUAGAUAUUAGGAGGAACACCAGUGGCGAAGGCGGCGUACUGGACGGUAAAUGACGCUGAGGCUCGAAAGCGUGGGGAGCAAACAGGAUUAGAUACCCGAGUCCCC
rnacentral:rRNA from 1 species